ensembl:Y_RNA Y_RNA Y RNA
GGCUGGUCUGAAGGUAGUGAGUUACCUCCACUGAUUGUUGACAGUCAGUUACAUAUCAAACUCCUUGUUCUACUCUUUCCCCGCUUCUCACUGCUGCACUUGGCUAGUCUUUA